rnacentral:rRNA from 1 species
CAGCCGCCGCGGUAGUACGUAGGUGGCAAGCGUUGUCCGGGUUUAUUGGGCGUAGAGCGAGCGCAAGCGGUCAAUUAAGUCUGAUGUGAAAGCCCCCGGCUCAACCGGGGAGGGUCAUUGGAAACUGGUUGACUUGAGUGCAGAAGAGGAGAGUGGAAUUCCAUGUGUAGCGGUGAAAUGCGUAGAUAUGUGGAGGAACACCAGUGGCGAAAGCGGCUCUCUGGUCUGUCACUGACGCUGAGGCUCGAAAGCGUGGGUAGCGAACAGGAUUAGAUACCCCUGUAGUCCCUGUCUCUUAUAC